UCGAGAAUUUUUCUCAAUGGGCGCAAGCCUGAAGGAGCGACGCCGCGUGGGGGAUGAAGGGCUUCGGCCCGUAAACCCCUGUCAUUUGCGAACAAGCUUUAGCACCUAAGAGGUGUUGAAGUUGAUAGUAGCGAAAGAGGAAGGGACGGCUAACUCUGUGCCAGCAGCCGCGGUAAUACAGAGGUCCCAAGCGUUGUUCGGAUUUACUGGGCGUAAAGGGUGCGUAGGUGGCUGGGAAAGUCUGAUGUGAAAUCUCCGGGCUCAACUCGGAAAUGGCAUUGGAAACUAUCUGGCUCGAGGGUCGGAGGGGAGACUGGAAUUCUCGGUGUAGCAGUGAAAUGCGUAGAUAUCGAGAGGAACACCAGUGGCGAAGGCGAGUCUCUGGACGAUACCUGACACUGAGGCACGAAAGCUAGGGGAGCAAACAGG
rnacentral:rRNA from 1 species